UUUAUAAUACUAUAAGAUUCUUCAAUGACUAUCACAUGUUCAAUCCUGUUUCCUGUCAUACACCUGGAAGAAGAACAAUGUACUGAAACUAUUGAACUGAGUUUCGUGCAGUUUCCAAAACCAGAUUGCAUUAUUGAACUGAACUGAGACACUGACUGAACCACAACUAGUGGCAAGAAGUCUAUUUAUUGUGAUAGUAAAAAAGAAAGGUUGUUGUUUGUAAAAAUUUAUU
rnacentral:lncRNA from 1 species